rnacentral:lncRNA from 1 species
UGUGAUUAUAGUAACUUUAUUUAUAAGGAAAAAUACACGGAAUAUAUGUGAAAGUAAUUUUCUGGUCGAUUUAUAAGCGAAAAUAGAAAAAUUAAAAACUUACCAUGUGACUUGUCUGCUAUUGACAAUAUUGCAGAUACAAGAUACAUUCUUAAAAAGUUGAAUGUAAUAUCGUCCAUUUCGACGGCGUAUAACAAUGUUCACUUUCCUUUACAAGGAAGUUGCGAUUUACCUAUUCAGGUCAUACAAAUAAUACUAGUAGUAAAAUAAACAAAUUAUAAAUCAACCAAUAAUGAAAUAAACGUUAAGAUAAUAAAUAGUAUAGAGAUUAAAUGGACUUUAAAUCAUUCAAUGCUACGACUAUCACAUAUCCACAUUGUCCUUUUCAUACUUCCUCUGGGGAAAAUACAUUAUGUAGAACACGCAGUACGUUCUACGUUUUUUAAACUUUGCGACAAC